ensembl:snRNA U6 U6 spliceosomal RNA
GUGCUUACUUUGCUGGUGUAUAUACUAAAAUCAGAAUGAUACAGAAAACAUUAGCAUGGCCCCUGCUCAAGAAGAACAUGCAAAUUCAUAUUUUUAAUAUAUAUGU